AAAAUUUAGUUAAAUUAUAUAACAUUAGUUUGUCAAACUAAAAUUAUUAAAUAAUUAAUAAUUUUUA
rnacentral:tRNA from 1 species